rnacentral:rRNA from 1 species
CCUACGGGAGGCAGCAGUGAGGAAUAUUGGACAAUGGGCGCAAGCCUGAUCCAGCCAUGCCGCGUGCAGGAUGACGGUCCUAUGGAUUGUAAACUGCUUUUGUACAGGAAGAAACAGUUCUACGUGUAGAACCUUGACGGUACUGUAAGAAUAAGGAUCGGCUAACUCCGUGCCAGCAGCCGCGGUAA